GCGCGAGUAGUUUAGUGGUUAUAAUUCGGCGUUGCCAACGCUGAGACCCGGGUUCGAGUCCCGGCUCGCGCA
rnacentral:tRNA from 1 species